rnacentral:tRNA from 3 species
AGAGCAUCGCACUUGUAAUGCGAUGGUCAUCGGUUCGAUUCCGAUAGCCGGCUCUUUGUUAUUCCCUUCAUUCCUCCUCAUGAUCUAUAAUGUUUUGUUAGGA